AUCCAACUGAUAAGUCCCAAAUAGGACGAAAUGCAUGUCCUGGAU
rfam:Schistosoma haematobium scaffold35_31, whole genome shotgun sequence.